UAGGGAAUAUUGGGCAAUGGAGGCAACUCUGACCCAGCCAUGCCGCGUGCAGGAUGAAGGCGUUAUGCGUUGUAAACUGCUUUUAUAUAGGAAGAAAUAGACCUUGCGAGGUAAGUUGACGGUACUAUAUGAAUAAGCACCGGCUAACUCCGUGCCAGCAGCCGCGGUAAUACGGAGGGUGCAAGCGUUGUCCGGAUUUAUUGGGUUUAAAGGGUGCGUAGGCGGUUUAUUAAGUCAGUGGUGAAAGACGGUCGCUCAACGAUUGCAGUGCCAUUGAUACUGGUAGACUUGAGUGGGAUUGAGGUAGCUGGAAUGGAUAGUGUAGCGGUGAAAUGCAUAGAUAUUAUCCAGAACACCAAUUGCGUAGGCAAGUUACUAAGUCUCA
rnacentral:rRNA from 1 species